AUUUAAUAUCAAAUUAAAACCUUUUACUUCAUCAUUUCGGUCUUAAGUUAGUUUCUGUAAGAUUUGAACAUUUUUCAUACAAUUAAGGGUGCUCUAUCGAUUGGUAAUGAAAUUUGUCUGGUGUAAAUCAGGCAGAAGCUGUCAUUGUUAUUUUUGAUUAGAUUAUUAUAGUAAAUGUUAAAGAUGGUUGAUCGAAACCUGAUCAAUAUUAGAUUUACUAAUAAAUUGAUUGUUUUGUCAAAUCAACUAAAAGAUGGCAAAUCUUCCAGUUAACUGCCAGACGUUGGUCUGAAUUUUGUUUUUAUUAUUUUAUUUCAUUUCAAUGGUCUAAUACCAUUGGAAUUUAUCUUUAAAUUAAUCAAUAGAUUCAGAUAUUUCAUUGUGAAAAAGCAUUAAAAUUGUAGAUGGAAAACAGUAAAAGAUGAAUUUGGAUCGUCGCAAGAGGAUGGUGAUAAUUUAUCAUAAGUAAUGUGUUUACUAUGGAUAAAAUUGAUUCAAAUAUUUUCCCGUCCUAUUUUAGUUUCCAUUGACUUGCAAAGAGGAAUCAUAUUUUACAAGUGGGUUACAUGACAAGAACCCAGAAAAGAUGAUAAAGUUGACACAAUCUACAGACUCAAGGAUGUUUCAUGUUAAUGUUAACCAAAAAAGCAAAUUUGUGACUCUCAUCUGUUGGUACCAACUCAAGGUUUACAACUCAACUUUCUGGUGGCUCUGUCAAUAUAAUAACAUUUACUAUCGUUGGAUUGAACAUGGUAAGAAAGCAAGAGUUGACUAUCGAGACAGUACAGUUAAGGAGAGGAGGCAACACAAAAAAAGACCCAAAAAUGAGUUCAAGAAGAUGGUUUCGAUGAAGAUGAUGAAGCCAGUGAUUAGGAUGGUAAUGAAGCUGAUGGUGAAGCUGUCUAUAGAGCUAGCGGUAUAGCUGGUGUAGCUUGUGGUGGUGAGGAAAACAAACCCAUACGGAAUGACUUGAGAUUAUAAUUUAAAGGCUUUACAUUUAUGAUUAUAAAUGAACGGUCAUAACAGCAAGUUAAACCAACUGACAGCAUAAAUAUAAGAUAAAAAAGCUAACCAAGUAGGCCAAAAUAAUGAGGAUUACUACACCAAUAACAAAAGCUGAAGCACAAAGCUCAAGUGAAACCAAACCAAGGAAAAGUUAUUGCAAGUACAUAAUAAUAUCCAUCCAUCUAAUACAUACAGACAAAGUGGAAAGCCUUAAAAAAACAGUUAACACUAUUGGUUAUGUUACACGUUAUGUACAUAUCUGGUUAUAAGGUACAAACAAUAUAAACCAUUUUUUGCCCAUCUUUUAAUAUGCUCUGGCCAACCCAAAAGUCGUAAACAAGUCAACUCAAGGACGGAGGAUAAAGAUCAUUCCAGCUGACUGCCUUAAACCCACCAUGGUUAUGGCACCCUCAACAGUAUCUUCGCCCUCUUUUUAGGAUUCUUGGUUCCUGUCUUUUCUCAGAAUGUAUACUCAUAAAGCAUUACAAAUCGAUAAUACAUUCAAACGGAACAUUGUGAUAAAUCAGAAUAACCUUGAUGAUCAUUCUGGGAGUGUAAUGUUAUUACAUCUUGAUUUUGCCUCUGACUCUCAUGUUCCUCGCUUUUUGCCUCUUUUUAUCACCAUUUUUCUUUCUGAAUUUUCAUGGUGUAAUAUGAUUCUUUUAUGAGUAUUAACUACAUUCUAACCUUUUCACUGUAAACUCUUUUUUUGCUAUCUUUUAUUUGUUUCCAUAUUAAUGGAAAUUUCUGUUCCACAUAACCAUUUCAAUGUAAUUUGUUUUCCCUUUUUUAUGUCUACAGCUUUUAAAUAUCACUCAUAAUGGUGAACAAUUUUCAAUGUAAAACUUGCAUUCGUUGUCUUCAGUCUUGAAUUUAUGAAAUAUUGACUUUGAUUGUUGGGAAAGGAAGGAAACAAAAUUAGUAUUUACUCUCGAUUGACUUUUUAUUGGUAAAAAUUUUCUCCUUUUUGUUUCACUCUUCAUCAGUUGAUAGACAGAAAUCAUUUUCAUGAUCAGCUUCAUCCCUGUAAACAUUGCAUUUAACAUCAUUUUUUGUUUUCUUUUCAUCUAAAAGCUCUUUCUUCAUCAAGGUUAUGAGGAAGACUUAAUGUCAAAGUUGGUUGAACAUAACAAAUUAUCGACUUCUUUUUUGGUCCCAAAUUCAGAACUAGGUCAUUGUCUAUGUUAACAACCAUUUCCUUAUGAAAUAUCGCAGCAAUUUUUGUUUCUCUCAGCAUUUUCCUUCUUUUUGUCGUUUUGUGAUUCCUUUGUAAAUUUUCAAGACAACUUAUUCACUAUUUAGUUGAUUAUCUUUUGUUAAAUCACCAGUAAUUUACCUUUUUCCUUACAAUUCCUUAAUUUGUUCCUCUUCUUCACCAUCCUCAACAUCAUAAUCUUACCACCAUCUUUCCCUUGAAGAGUCAGUUUUAUAAAUAUUCAAACAUUCUUAUUGUCAACGUUAACCUUAAUUAAUGAUGGUUAAUUAAUCAUCAACCUAAAAGAUUGAGCUUUUAAUCGAGAAAGUAAAGCCACACUAUUUAAAUCAAAUCAAUCAAUCAAUAAUUUAACGCCUCAAGUCAAAAAUAAAUUUCACUCGCUUAAUUAGCAUAAGACCCCUAAUCAUAUGGCUUUUUCCCUCGCAUUCAAAAGCACAUUGUUACAUAAGUUGGUCAACUUUCUUUUCUUUUAUAAUUAAUUUAUUAGUGUUAAUUGUUUUUUAUAGACAUUUUGUUUUUACCAAGUUCUGUACUGAGUUUCACUGAAGUUAAUUGUUUGUGAUUCAACUUUUUUUUAAAACCAAGGGAAAUGGAAAGUCAAGUGAUCUAUUGGCAAAAACCUUUUUACCUUUUUCCUGUUUCUCUCCAGAGAAUCAGCAUCCACUAGGAUUAACCAUAGCAACGGAAUUUAGAUGAUAAAACUCAAUCGAUAUCGUGUUAAAACCUUACAACCAAAAGAUGCAAAGAUUGACUUUUAAAUAGCGUCACACAGAAGAGACUGUCUAGGAUAAUGUGGAGUUGGGAAUACAAAAGGAGAACAAUAAGGAAGAAAUGGAAAAAUCUCUUUAUUUAACUCUAUUAGAAGAACGGACAUGUUGCCAAUGAUGAUAAUGGCGAUGCUGAUGUAGAUUAGGAUGAUGUCGAUGUUGAUACAAAAAGCUUCCUCCUUCUUGGUCAUCAUCAUCUUCCGCUGCUGUUGCUGCUGCAUCUUGAGGGAUCACGGCUCGUGGUUUAUGAUCCAUGGUAAAAGGUGGUAAAAGAUUGUGACUCACUUCAACAAUUUAUUCCACUAUUUAAUCACUUCUUUCACUUGAUCAUCGGCAGCAACUUGUAACCAAUCAAUCUACAUACCGACAACCUUUUAAUACUGAAGCAAAAUUCGUAUGAUUCAUUCAUAUUUUUUUCAUUUCACUGUUUUUAACUGUUGAUAAAUUCAAAUUUAUUUUGAUUUGAUUAACCCGUAACCAAAACCAUUCUCAUUUAAACUUGUCAAGUUUAACAAGGUUCAAACCUAAAUUGAAGGUUUUUAUUGAUAAUCUAAUAAAUUGACUAUUACAAUAACCAAA